rnacentral:rRNA from 1 species
ACGUAGGGUGCGAGCGUUAAUCGGAAUUACUGGGCGUAAAGCGUGCGCAGGCGGUUUCGUAAGACAGAUGUGAAAUCCCCGGGCUCAACCUGGGAACUGCAUUUGUGACUGCGAGACUAGAGUGCGGCAGAGGGGGGUAGAAUUCCACGUGUAGCAGUGAAAUGCGUAGAUAUGUGGAGGAAUACCGAUGGCGAAGGCAGCCCCCUGGGUCGACACUGACGCUCAUGCACGAAAGCGUGGGGAGCAAACAGGAUUAGAUACCCUGGUAGUCCACGCCCUAAACGAUGUCAACUAGGUGUUGGGGGAGGAGACUUCCUUAGUACCGCAGCUAACGCGUGAAGUUGACCGCCUGGGGAGUACGGCCGCAAGGUUG